rnacentral:rRNA from 1 species
AGACGUCUACAUUAGAUACCCCUGUAGUCCCAGCCGUAAACGAUGCGCGUUAGGUGUAUCGACGACCACGAGUCGUCGAGGUGCCGAAGGGAAACCGUGAAACGUGCCGCCUGGGAAGUACGGUCGCAAGGCUGAAACUUAAAGGAAUUGGCGGGGAGCACCACAACAGGUGGAGCCUGCGGUUUAAUUGGACUCAACGCCGGGAAGCUCACCGGAUAGGACAGCAGAAUGAUUGCCGGGCUGAAGACCCUGCAUGACUAGCUG